CGGAGGACUGAGAAGGUGAGGCAGUUCUGAACCAUGCUGCCUUCCACUGGUCAAGACCUCCGAGAGCGAAGGCCUGCAGAGGCAGAGGAAGUCCCUCUGCCGCCCUCAGAGGGGCAGCACUGUGCUGGCCGACACUUG
ensembl:snoRNA SNORA47 small nucleolar RNA, H/ACA box 47